AACGAACGCUGGCGGCAGGCCUAACACAUGCAAGUCGAACGCUCGUAGCAAUACGAGAGUGGCAGACGGGUGAGUAACACGUGGGAACCUUCCCUUGGUUCGGAAUAGCUCAGGGAAACUUGAGGUAAUACCGGAUAAGCCCUUACGGGGAAAGGAUUUAUCGCCAUAGGAUGGGCCCGCGUCGGAUUAGCUAGUUGGUGAGGUAACGGCUCACCAAGGCGACGAUCCGUAGCUGGUCUGAGAGGAUGAUCAGCCACACUGGGACUGAGACACGGCCCAGACUCCUACGGGAGGCAGCAGUGGGGAAUAUUGGACAAUGGGCGGCAAGCCUGAUCCAGCCAUGCCGCGUGAGUGACGAAGGCCUUAGGG
rnacentral:rRNA from 1 species